AUUGAACGCUGGCGGCAGGCCUAACACAUGCAAGUCGAACGAGUGGCGGACGGGUGAGUAAUGUCUGGGAAACUGCCCGAUGGAGGGGGAUAACUACUGGAAACGGUAGCUAAUACCGCAUACCAUCGGAUGUGCCCAGAUGGGAUUAGCUAGUGGGGGGGGUAACGGCUCACCUAGGCGACGAUCCCUAGCUGGUCUGAGAGGCUGACCAGCCACACUGGAACUGAGAAACGGUCCAGACUCCUACGGGAGGCAGCAGUGGGGAAUAUUGCACAAUGGGCGAAAGCCUGAUGCAGCCAUGCCGCGUGUAUGAAGAAGGCCUUCGGGUUGUAAAGUACUGUCAGCGAGGAGGCGUUACUCGAAGAAGAAGCACCGGCUAACUCCGUGCCAGCAGCCGCGGUAAUAC
rnacentral:rRNA from 1 species